GUAAGCCAGUUCUCAUAUUCCUACCUUUGGCCUCCGAAGCCAAGGGUCGCUGGUUCGAUUCCAGCCAGCCGCACCA
rnacentral:tRNA from 1 species